CCUACGGGUGGCAGCAGUAGGGAAUAUUGCUCAAUGGGGGAAAGCCUGAACCAGCCACGCCGCGUGGAGGAUGACGGUUUUAGGAUUGUAAACUCCUUUUGUUAGAGAAGAUUAUGACGGUAUCUAACGAAUAAGCACCGGCUAACUCCGUGCCAGCAGCCGCGGUAAUACGGAGGGUGCAAGCGUUACUCGGAAUCACUGGGCGUAAAGGGUGCGUAGGCGGGGUAAUAAGUCAGAUGUGAAAUGCUGUAGCUUAACUACAGAACUGCAUUUGAAACUGUUACUCUGGAGUGUGGGAGAGGUAGGUGGAAUUCGUGGUGUAGGGGUAAAAUCCGUAGAGAUCAAGAGGAACACUCAUUGCGAAGGC
rnacentral:rRNA from 1 species